AGAGAGAGACAUGCGCGCAUAUCAAUAAGCGGAGGAAAAGAAACUAACAAGGAUUCCCCUAGUAACGGCGAGUGAAGCGGGAAGAGCUCAAAUUUGAAAUCUUAAAGGGUUUCCCAUUACGAAUUGUAGUUUAAAGAAGUGUUUUCUGUUGAGGUUUUGGUAAAAGUUCUUUGGAAUAGGACAUCAUAGAGGGUGAGAAUCCCGUAUUUGACCUUUACUUUCAACUUUGUGAUACACUUUCAAAGAGUCGGAUUGUUUGGGAAUGCAGUCCAAAAUGGGUGGUAAAUUUCAUCUAAAGCAAAAUAUUGGCGAGAGACCGAUAGCGAACAAGUACCGUGAGGGAAAGAUGAAAAGAACUUUGAAAAGAGAGUUAAACAGUACGUGAAAUUGUCAAAAGGGAAGCGUUUGACACCAGUGUUGUUUUUCUGAAAAUCAAUUAAAGAACUGUUUAUGCUAAGCUGUUUAGACUUUAUCAGCUAUCUGUUUAGUUUUGAGCUUUUCUUUAAUGCACUUUUCAGUUAACAAGUCAACAUCAAUUUCUUUUGCUGUAAAAAAGCUUGAGGAAGGUGGCUUGAGAUUCGUCUUAAGUGUUUAUAGCCUCUUGCCUAUGCAGUCGGAGAGAUUGAGGUCUGCAGCGUAGAUCCUUCGGGGCUAAAUGCAUUUGUGCUAAGUUAUAGCAUUUUAUAGACAACUUGUUGACUAUGAUUUGUCUUGUAGCUUACUCGCUUAUGUUAUUUUACCUACGCUUAGGAUGUUGACGCAUGAGAUAUACGC
rnacentral:rRNA from 1 species